rfam:Strigamia maritima strain Brora ctg7180001230531, whole genome shotgun sequence.
GUCAGGAUGGCCGAGCGGUCUAAGGCGCCAGACUCAAGUAAACUUGCCAAUCUAUUUGGUCAUGUGAUUUCUGGUCCACGAAUGUGGGCGUGGGUUCAAAUCCCACUUCUGACA